AUGCAUGUAUUGACCUCUCCAACAGCAACUACCCGCUCUGCAGAGAUACCGGGGCACAUCCUCAGGAGCUGGUCUGUUGUACACCAAGAGAGGACCUGUCCCAGGAUAUUUUGGGAAGCGGGUGAUCAGGUGAUCAGGAAAGACGUCCAUAAAUGUAUUCUCAUACAAGAGCCCAGUAGAAAAAAACAGAGGAAGAAGAGAGAAAGACCCAGGAACAUAGAGCCUACCUUCAGUACAGUAUGCCUAUCUACAACUGUCCUUCUUCUCACGGUUCAAAAAAGAUGGAAAAGCCCCCAGGAAAAUGCUUUCCUGGGAAGUACAUUAUUCUAUCCUGAAUUGUGAUUAUUUUUCCAAAAUUAACAAAAUGAAUUAUAUUUCUUGGCCUUCUAGAACAUUCUGCAGACCCAUCAAGGAGCAGACUGGACUGGAACAUCUCUGCAUUACUUUUCACAUCAUGCUUACCAAUUAAUGGCUUUGCAACUGCAUUCCUGGAACUUGACUGGCUCAUCAGUAUUUAAUUGAUAGGAAACACAGAUGGAAAAUCAUGCCAAAGAACCUUCCCAUUCAUGAAAGAGAUCUAUACCUCUCUAAUAGGACAAUGGUUUUGUUAUCAUCCAAAAGCCCAAGAGUCAUUCAGCCUUCCUGUGCUGAAAAGUGACAAUUUUCUUGAACUCAUCUAAGAUAUUUAAAAUAUUGAAGCUGUUGAAAAAGAGUUCCAUUGGUUCUACUGAAAGACUAGAGAAUACAAAGCAUUUACAGUGAGUAUCACUGAACUGGAGGCUUAUUAAGCCAGACUCUAAUUAAUGUAACUAUCUCAGCAGAAAAUUAUUCACUCUUUCUUUUUAUAGUACCAAAUCAUCUAUUUAUCACAGUACCCCUUAAUAACUUCCAUGAAUAAGGAAUACAAACAUUUCCUUCCUAUAGCCUACUUCCCCAUGAAACACCUCUUUCUCCUCUCCAAAAAAAAGGAAAAAGGAAAAAAGGAAAAUCAAAUAAACAAAACCACAAAAUAAACUCUACA
rnacentral:lncRNA from 1 species